rnacentral:lncRNA from 1 species
UUCACCCUCUUGAUCUGCUUUCUGUUCUCGUAGCAAAUAAAGUUUACCACUAAGAUUGCUUCCCGUUUCCAUGGCUUGCAUCCACGCACCGUGCGCUCGCCACCGAUCUGUAAAUGUGGAGGAGCGAAGGCAAGAGGCUCAUUACUAUCUCUGGCUGUCUCUGAGCCUGGAGGGAG